GACGAACGCUGGCGGCGUGCUUAACACAUGCAAGUCGAGCGAUGAAGCUCCUUCGGGAGUGGAUUAGCGGCGGACGGGUGAGUAACACGUGGGUAACCUGCCUCAUAGAGGGGAAUAGCCUUCCGAAAGGAAGAUUAAUACCGCAUAAGAUUGUAGUGCCGCAUGGCAUAGCAAUUAAAGGAGUAAUCCGCUAUGAGAUGGACCCGCGUCGCAUUAGCUAGUUGGUGAGGUAACGGCUCACCAAGGCGACGAUGCGUAGCCGACCUGAGAGGGUGAUCGGCCACAUUGGGACUGAGACACGGCCCAGACUCCUACGGGAGGCAGCAGUGGGGAAUAUUGCACAAUGGGGGAAACCCUGAUGCAGCAACGCCGCGUGAGUGAUGAAGGUCUUCGGAUUGUAAAACUCUGUCUUCAGGGACGAUAAUGACGGUACCUGAGGAGGAAGCCACGGCUAACUCCGUGCCAGCAGCCGCAGUAACAC
rnacentral:rRNA from 1 species